rnacentral:rRNA from 1 species
CGCGUAGGCGGACACUUAAGUCAGGGGUGAAAUCCCGGGGCUCAACCUCGAACUGCCUUUGAUACUGGGUGUCUUGAGUGUGAGAGAGGUGUGUGGAACUCCGAGUGUAGAGGUGAAAUUCGUAGAUAUUCGGAAGAACACCAGUGGCGAAGGCGACACACUGGCUCAUUACUGACGCUGAGGCGCGAAAGUGUGGGGAGCAAACA